GUCCGCUAGUUUUUUUACAAGUAUUAUGAGUUUCCAGCAUGCAACUUCGACAACAGACAGCGUCAUGGUGGCCACAGAACAAGUCGAGUUCCAUGUUUGGGUGUGUAGGGCAGUGCUUGUUUUCAUUCAUUUUCAUAAAGCCGUGAAUCGCCGAAAUGUCGAUAAGAUGAUGGGUUGCGAAGGGCUUGAAAGUAUUAUGAGCAGUCAUGCAAUCAUAACAAAAUGGGUCAUCACAAUCGGUGCAAUAUUCAUUGGCCGAGGAUGAUUCAUUUUCCCUAGAACAGGGUCCACAUUAAGAAUUUGACGCCAUCUUCU
rnacentral:lncRNA from 1 species